UACAGAGGUCUCAAGCGUUGUUCGGAUUCAUUGGGCGUAAAGGGUGCGUAGGUGGCGCCGUAAGUCAGGUGUGAAAUUUCGGAGCUUAACUCCGAAACUGCAUUUGAUACUGCGGUGCUUGAGGACUGGAGAGGAGACUGGGAAUUUACGGUGUAGCAGUGAAAUGCGUAGAGAUCGUAAGGAAGACCAGUGGCGAAGGCGGGUCUCUGGACAGUUC
rnacentral:rRNA from 1 species